UCCGGCGUAGCUCAAUGGUAGAGCAAGCGACUGUUAAUCGCUUGGUUGUAGGUUCGAGUCCUACCGCCGGAGCCA
rnacentral:tRNA from 1 species